GACGUAGGGCGCGAGCGUUGUCCGGAUUUAUUGGGCGUAAAGCGCGCGUAGGCGGCUACCUAAGUCGGAUGUGAAAGCCCCUGGCUUAACCGGGGAAGUGCACCCGAAACUGGGUAGCUAGAGUGCAAAAGAGGGUCGCGGAAUUCCCAGUGUAGAGGUGAAAUUCGUAGAUAUUGGGAGGAACACCGGUGGCGAAGGCGGCGACCUGGGUUGACACUGACGCUGAGGCGCGAAAGCGUGGGGAGCAAACAGG
rnacentral:rRNA from 1 species